AGUAGGAUCACGAAUCUUGUACUUUGCCGCCUUUCAUGUAGAAGAAAAUAGAAAUUAUUAUAUUUGUAGGUAGCCUACUUCAGUCCUGUUGUUGAAAUGUAGUUCUUCGGCCACUGGCUCCUCACGAAGGGAGCAACAGGGCGCAGUGAGUGAAUGAUGUGUCCUAGUUUUGUGAGACUUUGCAGUGCACUAUUCUCUAAAGGAAGAGCUUCAAUUAGGAACGGAACACCUCGCUGAAAUUCGGCAGCCACCCGGAGAAAGCAGCCAAUGUCAUCACGAGGGGAAUAAUUUCAGAAUGCUGGCUAAUGAUCAAGGUGAGGAUGGCAUGUCGCUGUUCCUCCAAGCUGAAGACUACUGGGAAGUAAAUCUACACCUGUGUUGACUAGACGAAGCAGAGCCAAAUCAAUCCUAACAUGCUUUCCACAAGCAGCUGAUAUCGCUAUGAAAGUAGGACUACCACCACACUCCAUUAUUCAUCCCAGUGUCUGGAGAUAUGUGGACUUUGUAAAAAAAUAUAAAAAUGACAACUCUAGAACAGCUCAUCAUUUGAUUCCAUUCUGCUGCUUUAUUGGCUGCGUGGAUGAGUAACACUCAGUUGCAGAAGCCCAUGCACUGAGAGUGCAAUACAGCCAUGAGGUGAGUCGUAUACGUCACCAUUAUCUUUAAAGCAAAGCCAUGUCUAGUCAAGCAUUCAUGUUCCGACUGCUGACUAGAUGCUUUUCUACUUUCCAUUAGCUAUCAUACACAAUGUGACGUUAGUUUUUUUAAUUCUACGUUUUCAAUUCCCGGCUAUGCUUUCGACACUUUUCGGGAUAAACCAUUGGGCCAAUAUACACUUUAAAGCUUUGCAAGCAAUCUACUUCUACAUGUAUCUCUGUUGAAUUUCUCUCUAUCAAUCUCUCUCUCUCUCUCUCAUUGAUUUUCUAUCAAAAGGAAAUUUGCCUUUA